UACGUAGGGGGCUAGCGUUAUCCGGAAUUACUGGGCGUAAAGGGUGCGUAGGUGGUUUCUUAAGUCAGAGGUGAAAGGCUACGGCUCAACCGUAGUAAGCCUUUGAAACUGGGAAACUUGAGUGCAGGAGAGGAGAGUGGAAUUCCUAGUGUAGCGGUGAAAUGCGUAGAUAUUAGGAGGAACACCAGUUGCGAAGGCGGCUCUCUGGACUGUAACUGACCCUGAGGCACGAAAGCGUGGGGAGCAAACAGGAUUAGAUACCCCCGUAGUCCCUGAGCGGGCUGGCAA
rnacentral:rRNA from 1 species